AGGACGAACGCUGGCGGCGUGCUUAACACAUGCAAGUCGAGCGGAAAGGCCCUUCGGGGUACUCGAGCGGCGAACGGGUGAGUAACACGUGAGCAAUCUGCCCUUAGCUUCGGGAUAGCCCCGGGAAACCGGGAUUAAUACCGAAUACGACCUCGGUCGACAUCGGCCUUGGUGGAAAGUUUUUCGGCUAGGGAUGAACUCGCGGCCUAUCAGCUUGUUGGUGGGGUAAUAGCCUACCAAGGCGACGACGGGUAGCCGGCCUGAGAGGGCGACCGGCCACACCGGGACUGAGACACGGCCCAGACUCCUACGGGAGGCAGCAGUGGGGAAUAUUGCGCAAUGGGCGAAAGCCUGACGCAGCGACGCCGCGUGGGGGAUGAAGGCCUUCGGGUUGUAACCCUUUCAGUAGGACGAAGCGAAGUGACGGUACCUGCAGAGAAGCGCCGGCUAACUACGCGCCAGCAGCCGC
rnacentral:rRNA from 1 species